UGCUUAUAUUUUAUCCCUUGGGUCUAUAGGAGCCGCUUGUGAAAGUAUCUCACGAGGAGGAGGUACGUUUACUUGGUGCACUUGAACCUAUGUGGGAGAAGUUCCAAAGGCUUCAUUUGCCCGAUUCAUAUUCAGAUCUUCGUGAUGCUUUUGUGGGCUUUAUACUGGAAUGUAUGGA